CGGGAGCUAACUAUAAAAUUAAGACAGUGAUAAUGGCAUCAUGUCCAUUUUAUCAGAAAGAUAAUUUUAUUAAUAUUUAAAAACGGAGCAAGAGGAUUAAAUUAGACAUCGUUACAUUAAGGCCUGCUACGUCUCUUAUCGCUUGUAAAUCUGUGAUUAUAUAGUGAACACAUUGGAGUUGUGUGCAGGAAAAUUAACUCGAUCAUCAGCUGAUUGACUCUCAAUUGUCAUGGUACAUUCGCCAAUCCAUUUGUUUAGCACAGUCUGCUUUCUCUUGAGGUGCAUGCCAGUUGAGUAUAAACACAAUUAAGUACUCAAAUCAUGAAAAAGUAGGUGUCAAUACUAAAAUGCAAUAAAAAUAUAAUCAUAGCGAUCACUGAUUUUAACCAUGGCACAGCUCGUUUAACCAUGGUGCUCAUAAAUUUAACCAUAAAGCCCCUUGUGGAGAACCCUGCUGAUGGAUGUUGACCCUCCAAGAUGUGGAAAUGAGCUAAUACAGACAGACAGGAAUUGGUGGAAGAACCUAGUGGAAAAGGCAAGACCAAUGGAUGUGGACCCUUCAAGAUGUGGAAAUGAGCUACUACAGCCAGACAGGAAUUGGUGGAAGAACCUGGAAAAGGCAAGACCAAUGGAUGUGGACCCUUGUAGAUAUGGAAAUAAGCUACUACAGCCAGACAGGAAUUGGUGGAAAAACAGGAAAUGCCAAGGCUGAUGGAUGUUUACCCUCCAAUAUGUGGAAAUGAGCUGCUACAACCAAAUAGGAAUCCAAAUAGGAAUUGGUGGAAAAACUUGGAAAAUAUAGACCUGAUAGAUGUUGACUCUCCAAGAUGUGAAAAUGGGAGAUACAACUAGACAAAAUUGGUGGAACAACUGGAGGACAAGAUGAUGGACGUGGCCUUCCCAGCAGCAAUACUUAUCACUGUGGAUAACUGUCACUGAUCAGAAUGCUUUGAUGAGUUGGUGACAGAACCCAUUAGGAAACUCAGAUGAAGUAAGGUGGAUGUGCUUGACAUUUUGAAUGUAAAGGAGCCCUCAGAAAACAAAAGUUUUGAAGAGGCACAUCCAUGUCAUCAGAUAUGAGAAAGAUUAAGAAGAAAUUCUGCACAGAGCCAGAUCUCUGAA